GACGAACGCUGGCGGCGUGCUUAACACAUGCAAGUCGAACGGAAAGGCCCUGCUUUUGUGGGGUGCUCGAGUGGCGAACGGUUGAGUAACACGUGAGUAACCUGCCCUUGACUUUGGGAUAACUUCAGGAAACUGGGGCUAAUACCGGAUAGGAGCUCCUGCUGCAUGGUGGGGGUUGGAAAGUUUCGGCGGUUGGUGAUGGACUCGCGGCUUAUCAGCUUGUUGGUGGGGUAGUGGCUUACCAAGGCUUUGACGGGUAGCCGGCCUGAGAGGGUGACCGGCCACAUUGGGACUGAGAUACGGCCCAGACUCCUACGGGAGGCAGCAGUGGGGAAUAUUGAACAAUGGGCGGAAGCCUGAUGCAGCAACGCCGCGUGCGGGAUGACGGCCUUCGGGUUGUAAACCGCUUUCGCCUGUGACGAAGCGUGAGUGACGGUAAUGGGUAAAGAAGCACCGGCUAACUACGUG
rnacentral:rRNA from 1 species